UGGUACAAUUUUACCGUAUAAAACAUUUUGGUGUAUGAAAGUGAAGUUGUAUUGCGUGAUGGUCGUUGUGGUGGGACAUCUGAUUAGUAUUUAAUGAUCCGGCGAUAAUGAUCCAACCACGAAAAGGAUAUUAAACGCUGCCGAACAAGGAUGAGGAAUUACGGAUUUGUGUGUGUCGUCGUCAUCGUAGGCUGAGAGCAGGAUUUAACCGGAACGAUGUCUCGGUCGGUCGUGUCUACCGUGGCGUAUGUACCUACUACCUUUAGACAAACUAUGGAUAUUAGAACUAGUUCUAA